rnacentral:rRNA from 1 species
UACGUAGGGUCCGAGCGUUGUCCGGAAUUAUUGGGCGUAAAGGGCUCGUAGGCGGUCCGUCACGUCGGGAGUGAAAACUCAGGGCUCAACCCUGAGCGUGCUUCCGAUACGGGCGGACUAGAGGUAUGCAGGGGAGAACGGAAUUCCUGGUGUAGCGGUGAAAUGCGCAGAUAUCAGGAGGAACACCGGUGGCGAAGGCGGCUUGCUGGGCCUUACCUGACGCUGAGGAGCGAAAGCGUGGGGAGCGAACAGG